CUCGCUUUAAGCCUGAGUAACGCGUGGGACGUACCAUUUGCUACGGAAUAACUCAGGGAAACUUGUGCUAAUACCGUAUGUGCCCGAAAGGGGAAAGAUUUAUCGGCAAAUGAUCGGCCCGCGUUGGAUUAGCUAGUUGGUGGGGUAAAGGCCUACCAAGGCGACGAUCCAUAGCUGGUCUGAGAGGAUGAUCAGCCACACUGGGACUGAGACACGGCCCAGACUCCUACGGGAGGCAGCAGUGGGGAAUAUUGGACAAUGGGCGCAAGCCUGAUCCAGCCAUGCCGCGUGAGUGAUGAAGGCCCUAGGGUUGUAAAGCUCUUUCACCGGUGAAGAUAAUGACGGUGACCGGAGAAGAAGCCCCGGCUAACUUCGUGCCAGCAGCCGCGGUAAUACGAAGGGGGCUAGCGUUGUUCGGAUUUACUGGGCGUAAAGCGCACGUAGGCGGGCUAAUAAGUCAGGGGUGAAAUCCCGGGGCUCAACCCCGGAACUGCCUUUGAUACUGUUAGUCUUGAGUAUGGUAGAGGUGAGUGGAAUUCCGAGUGUAGAGGUGAAAUUCGUAGAUAUUCGGAGGAACACCAGUGGCGAGGCGGCUCACUGGACCAUUACUGACGCUGAGGUGCGAAAGCGUGGGGAGCACACAGGAUUAGAUACCCUGGUAGUCCACGCCGUAACGAUG
rnacentral:rRNA from 2 species